rnacentral:rRNA from 1 species
AGUGAACGCUGGCGGUAGGCCUAACACAUGCAAGUCGAACGGCAGCACAGGAGAGCUUGCUCUCUGGGUGGCGAGUGGCGGACGGGUGAGGAAUACAUCGGAAUCUACCUUUUCGUGGGGGAUAACGUAGGGAAACUUACGCUAAUACCGCAUACGACCUACGGGUGAAAGUGGGGGACCGCAAGGCCUCACGCGAUUAGAUGAGCCGAUGUCCGAUUAGCUAGUUGGCGGGGUAAUGGCCCACCAAGGCGACGAUCGGUAGCUGGUCUGAGGGGAUGAUCAGCCACACGGGAACUGAGACACGGUCCAGACUCCUACGGGAGGCAGCAGUGGGGAAUAUUGGACAAUGGGCGCAAGCCUGAUCCAGCCAUACCGCGUGGGUGAAGAAGGCCUUCGGGUUGUAAAGCCCUUUUGUUGGGAAAGAAAUCCUGUCGAUUAAUACUCGGUGGGGAUGACGGUACCCAAAGAAUAAGCACCGGCUAACUUCGUGCCAGCAGCCGCAGUAAGAC